UACGGAGGGUGCAAGCGUUAUCCGGAUUUACUGGGUUUAAAGGGUGCGUAGGCGGACUUGUAAGUCAGUGGUGAAAUCCCGGGGCUCAACCCCGGAACUGCCAUUGAUACUAUAGGUCUUGAAUAUUGUUGAGGUGGGCGGAACGGGUCAUGUAGCGGUGAAAUGCAUAGAUAUGACCCGGAACACCGAUUGCGAAGGCAGCCCGCUAAGCAAUGAUUGACGCUGAGGCACGAAAGCGUGGGGAUCAAACAGG
rnacentral:rRNA from 1 species